AUAAUUCAGGUUUUUUAAGCUAAAAUUUUUUAUUUAAAUUUAUUAUAUUGUUUAAACAUUUUAUUUGAAAUUUUUUUUAAAAUAAUUCUGUAGAGUUAUUUAGAUAAAUUUUUUUAAAGAAAAUUUUUUUAUUGUACCUUUUGUAUCAGGGUUAAUUUAUUUAGUUUAAUUAAAUUAAUUUUCCCGAAAAUUUAAGAUCUUGAUUUAUUUGAUUUUAAUUGUUUCAAAAAUUUUUGAUAAAAUAAAUCAAGUUUUGAAAUGAAAUUCGUUUAUUUAGAUAUCUGGUUUUUUUGGAAUAAAUUUAAUUUAAGAUUUUAAUUGUUUAAUAUUAUUUUUUUAUAAAAUUUUAAAAUUCUUAACAUAUUUGGGUUAAUCUAAAUUUUUUAUUAAAAUUUUUUUUGUUAAUAGAAUUUGUAGGAUUAAAAUCUUCUAUCUUAAAAUUUCGUUUUAGAAUAUUCUAUAAAAAUUUUUAUAAUUUAAUUUUUUACAAAAAUUUAUUUUUUAAUUUUUUUAUAUUUAAUUAAUGUUUAAAUAAGUAAACUUAAAUUUUAUUUUUAUGAAUUCGGCAAAUGACUUUCUGCCUGUUUAUCAAAAACAUGUCCUUAAGAAUUAAAAUUUAAGGUUGGGCCUGCUCAAUGAUUUUAAAUAGCUGCAGUAUUUUAACUGUACAAAGGUAGCAUAAUAAUUAGUCUUUUAAUUGAGGUCUAGAAUGAAUGGUUUGUCAAGAAAUUAACUUUAUUAAUUUAAUUAUUUUAGAAUUUUAUUUUUAAGUUAAAAAGCUUAAAUUAUUAAAUGGGACGAUAAGACCCUAUAGAUCUUUAAAUUUUUAAAUUUUAUAAAUUUUUGGUGGUUUUAGUUAAAUUUUUUAAAAAUUUUUCGUUGGGGUGACGUUUAAAAUUUUAAAACUUUAAUGAUUUUAUCCAUUGAUUAAUGAUUUUUAGAUCUUGAAUUUUUGAUUUUUAGAAUAAGAUACCUUAGGGAUAACAGCACAAUAAAUUUAGAUAGUUCAUAUUGAAAAAUUUGUUUGUGACCUCGAUGUUGAAUUAAUUAAAGAUUUAGAAGCAGAAAUUUAAAUUCUAGGUCUGUUCGACCUUUAAAAAUUUACAUGAUUUGAGUUCAAACCGGUGUAAGCCAGGUUGGUUUCUAUCUAUUUAUAUGUUUUUAUUUGAUUAGUACGAAAGGACUUUUAAGUUGGUAAUAUUUUCU
rnacentral:rRNA from 1 species